rnacentral:rRNA from 1 species
GACGAACGCUGGCGGCGUGCUUAACACAUGCAAGUCGAACGGUAAGGCCCUUCGGGGUACACGAGUGGCGAACGGGUGAGUAACACGUGGGUGAUCUGCCCUGCACUUCGGGAUAAGCCUGGGAAACUGGGUCUAAUACCGGAUAGGACCACUGCCUGCAUGGGUGGUGGUGGAAAGCUUUUGCGGUGUGGGAUGGGCCCGCGGCCUAUCAGCUUGUUGGUGGGGUGAUGGCCUACCAAGGCGACGACGGGUAGCCGGCCUGAGAGGGUGACCGGCCACGCUGGGACUGUGAUACGGCCCAGACUCCUACGGGAGGCAGCAGUGGGGAAUAUUGCACAAUGGGCGCAAGCCUGAUGCAGCGACGCCGCGUGAGGGAUGACGGCCUUCGGGUUGUAAACCUCUUUCAGCAUCGACGAAGCGCAAGUGACGGUAGGUGCAGAAGAAGGACCGGCCAACUACGUGCCAGCCGCCGCCGUAACAC